UGGGGAAUUGUUCGCAAUGGGCGCAAGCCUGACGACGCAACGCCGCGUGGAGGAUGAAGAUCUUCGGGUCGUAAACUCCUUUCGAUCGAGAAGAAUGCCUCCGGGGUUAAUACUCCUGGCGGGUGACGGUAUCGAGAGAAGAAGCCCCGGCUAACUCUGUGCCAGCAGCCGCGGUAAUACGGAGGGUGCAAGCGUUAAUCGGAAUUACUGGGCGUAAAGCGUGCGCAGGCGGUUUGUUAAGUCUGUUGUGAAAUCCCCGAGCUCAACUUGGGAAUUGCAAUGGAUACUGGCAGGCUGGAGUAUGGUAGAGGAAGGUGGAAUUCCCGGUGUAGCAGUGAAAUGCGUAGAGAUCGGGAGGAACACCAGUGGCGAAGGCGGCCUUCUGGACCAAUACUGACGCUCAUGCAUGAAAGCGUGGGGAGCAAAC
rnacentral:rRNA from 1 species